rnacentral:rRNA from 1 species
UACGUAGGCAGCAAGCGUUGUUCGGAAUUACUGGGCGUAAAGAGUGUGUAGGCGGUGCUCCAAGUCUGGUGUGAAAUCUCCCGGCCUCAACUGGGAGGGUGCGCUAGAAACUGGAAUGCUAGAGGAUGGGAGAGGUAAGCGGAAGUUCCUGGUGUAGCGGUGAAAUGCGCAGAUAUCAGGAGGAACACCGGUGGCGAAGGCGGGUCUCUGGGCCGAUACUGACGCUGAGGAGCGAAAGCGUGGGGAGCGAACAGG